CCUACGGGAGGCAGCAGUGAGGAAUAUUGGUCAAUGGGCGUAAGCCUGAACCAGCCAAGUCGCGUGAGGGAUGAAGGUUCUAUGGAUCGUAAACCUCUUUUAUAAGGGAAUAAAGUGCGGGACGUGUCCCGUUUUGUAUGUACCUUAUGAAUAAGGAUCGGCUAACUCCGUUCCGGCAGCCGCGGUAGUACUGAGGAUCCGAGCGUUAUCCGGAUUUAUUGGGUGUAAAGGGUGCGUAGGCGGCCUUUUAAGUCAGCGGUGAAAGUCUGUGGCUCAACCAUAGAAUUGCCGUGGAAACUGGGAGGCUUGAGUAUGUUAGAGGCAGUCGGAAUGCGUGGUGUAGCGGUGAAAUGCUUAGAUAUCACGCAGAACCCCGAUUGCGAAGGCAGCUUGCCAAGCCAUGACUGACGCUGAUGCACGAAAGCGUGGGGAUCAAACAGGAUUAGAUACCCGAGUAGUC
rnacentral:rRNA from 1 species